rnacentral:rRNA from 1 species
GACGAACGCUGGCGGCGUGCUUAACACAUGCAAGUCGAGCGGAGCGGCGAACGGGCGAGUAACUCGUUAGUAAUUGCCCCCCUCCCUGGGAUAACAGUUGGAAACGGCUGCCAAUACCGGAUAGUGGGGGAUGACUCGGGGCCUAUCAGCUUGUUUGUUGGGUAGUGGCCUACCACGGCGACGCCGGGUAGCCGGCCUGGGAGGGGGACCGGCCACAAGGGGCUGAGAUACGGCCCAGAGUGCUACGGGGGGCAGCAGGGGGGAAUAUGGCACAAUGGGGGAAACCGUGAUGCAGCAACGCCGCGGGCGGGAUGACGGCCUUGGGGUGGUAAACGGCUUUCAGCCAUGACGCGGUAGUGGCAGAAGAAGCACCGGCUAACUACGUGCCAGCAGCCGCGGUAAUAC